GAUGAACGCUAGCUACAGGCUUAACACAUGCAAGUCGAGGGGUAACGAGAGGAAAGCUUGCUUUCCUUGUCGACGACCGGCGCACGGGUGAGUAACGCGUAUCCAACCUGCCCCCAACUAGGGAAUAACCUUGCGAAAGUAAGACUAAUACCCUAUAAUUUCCUCAGAUGUCAUCUGACGAGGAAUAAAGAUUUAUCGGUUGUGGAUGGGGAUGCGUCUGAUUAGCUUGUUGGCAGGGUAACGGCCCACCAAGGCAACGAUCAGUAGGGGUUCUGAGAGGAAGGUCCCCCACAUUGGAACUGAGACACGGUCCAAACUCCUACGGGAGGCAGCAGUGAGGAAUAUUGGUCAAUGGGCGGAAGCCUGAACCAGCCAAGUAGCGUGCAGGAUGACGGCCCUAUGGGUUAUAAACUGCUUUUAUACAGGAAUAAAGUUAGCCACGUGUGGUUAUUUGUAGGUACUGUAUGAAUAAGGACCGGCUAAUUCCGUGCCAGCAGCCGCCGUAA
rnacentral:rRNA from 1 species